ensembl:lncRNA
AGUGAAGCAUUUUCUCAAACAGAUAGAUAUCUCUACUGAGCAUGUGUUGAAUAAAUGUCAUCACUCUGGAUUAUUUGUAAUUGGAGAAAUGUAGUGUUACAAAUUGUCCCCUGUGGUAAUUGCCCCCAGUCUCUCAUAUGCUUCAUUUUCUGGAUUAAUGACACACAAAGAUAAACAUGCAUACACAAAUUGUUUAAGUGUGUUUUGACUUUUCCCAGCUUGGGAAUCUCAGAGCCAUGCGGUGAUGCUGCUGCGUUAUCUUCUGCUCUCAGAUGCUGGAAUCCUCCAGUAAACACACAGGGUACUUUAAGGCCAUUAUGUUCUCCGCUCCCUGGAAAUGAUUUCUAAACACUGUCGUAAAUCCCAACACUUGUCACGGAGGCCAGACGAGAGUCCUCUCCUACUUCAGACUCAGAUAAACACUUCAAAGGCGACCGGCGGCUCAAUUUGAGAGUGGCAUUAUAUGUAAGGCAUGUUGGGUUUACUUUGCCACUGAAACUCAAACAGACCCGUACACUAAGAGAGGUGUCUAUUAAUAUCACCA